rnacentral:rRNA from 1 species
UACGGAGGGUGCGAGCGUUGUCCGGAAUCACUGGGCGUAAAGGGCGCGUAGGCGCUCGUGAAGUCAGUGGUGAAAGCCCAGGCUCAACUCUGGGUCGGCCACUGAUACUCGCGAGCUCGAGUUUGGUAGAGGCAGAUGGAAUUCCGGGUGUAGCGGUGAAAUGCGUAGAUAUCGGGAGGAACACCAGUGGCGAAGGCGAUCACCUGGGGUUGUUCUGACGCUGAGGAGCGAAAGCUAGGGGAGCAAACGGG